AAGACGCGAGCCAGAGCGAAGACAGAGAGGAAUAGAAGGUACCGCAAUGGCUUCAACCUUAUCAUGGGGCUCGGCCUGCUGCCCGCGGCCGCAUCGAGUCGGCGGAGGCGCGCGAAACGAGGGGCCGAGGAAUCCCAUCGAGGCCGGGAGGGUGAUGCCGAUACUCGCUCAGAAGAAAGCCAAGAAGAUCCGCAAGAUCAUCCUCAAGGAGGACGUCACGGAGCUGGGGAAGAAGGGGGAUCUCCUUGACGUGAAAGCCGGGUACUACCGCAACUUCCUGCUACCCACGGGCAGGGCUCAGCUCGUCACCCCUCUCUUGCUCAAGGAAAUGCGGAUCGAGGAGGAGAGAAUUGAGGCUGAGAAACAGCGGGUGAAAGAAGAAGCACAACAGCUUGCGCUGAUUUUCCAGACAGUUGGAGCUUUCAAGGUGAAACGCAAAGGUGGAAAAGGAAAACAAAUAUUUGGAACUGUUACUGCCCAAGACCUUGUGGACAUCAUAAAGGCACAACUAAACCGGGAUGUUGACAAAAGAAUCGUCACUCUUCCUGAGAUCCGUGAGACGGGGGAAUACAUAGCUGAGCUAAAGCUUCAUCCGGAAGUCUCCGCCGUAGUGAGAUUGAAUGUUUAUGCAAAUUAGCACCUUCAAUCUCACCGGAGACAGGGAGGAAAGCCCAUCCUUCAAAGAUGAAGUUGCAGAAGAACAGAUGGGGGUUCACAUGGAAGAGAGAUGCAUAAUCCUACCGAGGUGACCAGUAUCAAAUUCAGAUUAUUCAAUCCGAGCCACAUUUUGUUGAGCAGUAAUGUUUUCAACAGAUUUCCUGCAUUUUCUGUAUCCGAAAGCGCCGACCAUAAUGGUGGACGUGGAGACCAUGUCACGGUUUGCAAGAGGGAAGCUCAAAUCGUAGACGUCGGAAUUGCACCUGACAGCGAACCGCGCGAGUUUUGGGAUCAGGUAUUGGUUUGACCGGAUGGUCAACGUACUAUAUUUAAUUUUUUUUAAUUCAAAAAUAAGAUAUAAUUUUAUGUAUUACACUAAGAAUUUAAAAUAUAUGAAUAAUAUUAUGAAAAUAUAGUGACGGAAGCAGACAUGGUAUUCAAGAUUGAAACAGUUUAACAGUGAAUUAAACCGAGGUUAGCUAAAUCGGAUAUUUAUUGGUUCUUGGGUUGUAAUGUAGGCAUUCUUGUUCACUUUCAUGUGUACAUAUGAUGGCAAACAAGGCGAGGAGAGAAGAAGAGAGCGGUAAAAAGAAAUAAAAUAUGAAAGAAUAAAUGAGAAUUUUUUCUCUCUCUCUAAAGAGAUAACUAUGAAUUAAUAAUUUCAAAUGUAAAAGUUUAAUAAGAUUUUAAAAAUAAAAAUCUCCAUCAAUCUUUAUUCCUUUUCCAUUUAUAGAUCCUUUGUACGUUGAAUGAUUGAAAGUCAAGCAUAAAACAUAAUACAUAUUAAAUUCAUAAUGUAUUGUUCUUUGCUAUUUUAAAUUUUUAUAAUUAUUUCGAAUAAUUUUCUUAAAAUUUGAUAGAAUUGGAGAAGAACUCGCCCAUGAGUGGUAAACUAAUAAAUCUUGAAUGUUAUCAUUGUAAACUAAUAAAUCUUGAAUGUUAAAAAUGAAGUGAGUACGAAUAUUAGGAGCAAGUUCAGUCCUGUAAGUAUCGUCAUUAAUUCUUUGUAAGUUUUUACUACAAAAUAUUUUUUUUCAAAAAUAUCCAAACAAGAUCUCCUUCGAUGAUCAUCA